rnacentral:misc_RNA from 1 species
GAAUAUUAACCUAAGUUGGAGGUCAUGAUCCUCUCCCCAGGGCUUGUUGCAGCCUUUAGAAUAUUGUUCAGAUGAACUAAACACACCAGCCUUCAUUUGAUCAAUACUCAUGACAUUGGGGACCAAUAACUUCAAUACCUCACUACGCAAAGAACUUAAUUCUGGCUCUGGUAUAUGGGGUAUUUCCUCGGAUGUGCUGAUUCGGUUAUAAUCAAGGUCUAAAACAACUACACCAUCCAUUGCAAG